CAGCCGUAAACAAUGUGCGUUAGGUGUGUCGGUAACCACGUGUUACUGAUGCGCCGAAGAGAAAUCGUGAAACGCACCACCUGGGAAGUACGGUCGCAAGGCUGAAACUUAAAGGAAUUGGCGGGGGAGGCACCGCAACGGGAGGAGCGUGCGGUUUAAUUGGAUUCAACACCGGAAACUCACCAGGGAGGACUGUUACAUGAAACCCAGACUAAUGAUCUUGGUUGAUUUUCAGAGAGGAGGUGCAUGGCGUCAGUGACU
rnacentral:rRNA from 1 species